UAGAGAAGUCAAACAGGAAUAAGAGGGGAAAUGUAGUGCAGAAGAUGCAUGUGUCUACUUGCUUCUUCUCUUUUCCUUUUCUCUUCUUCCCCUUAUUUCUUUCUCUCCUCCUUGUCUCCGUCUUUUUACCUGUAACUAAUAAUACACUCAAAAGUUCCAAAUGGUGAGACCAAAGGAAAGAUGUCAAAA
rnacentral:ribozyme from 14 species